AGUCUGAAGUGAAAGCCCGGUGCUUAACGCCGGGACUGCUUUGGAAACUGUUUAGCUGGAGUGCCGGAGAGGUAAGCGGAAUUCCUAGUGUAGCGGUGAAAUGCGUAGAUAUUAGGAAGAACACCAGUGGCGAAGGCGGCUUACUGGACGGUAACUGAGGUUGAGGCUCGAAAGCGUGGGGAGCAAACAGGAUUAGAUACCCUGGUAGUCCACGCCGUAAACGAUGAUUGCUAGGUGUAGGUGGGUAUGGACCCAUCGGUGCCGCAGCUAACGCAAUAAGCAAUCCACCUGGGGAGUACGUUCGCAAGAAUGCAACUCAAAGGAAUUGACGG
rnacentral:rRNA from 1 species